rnacentral:rRNA from 1 species
UAUUAUAUUUAAUGUUGAAAAUUAUGCUAGGGUAGUAUUAGAUGUUCUUUAAACCCAAAGAAUUUGGCGGUGUUUUAGUCCUUUCAGGGGAACUUGUUUAUUUAAUUGAUAAUACACAAUUUGUUUUACUUAAUAAAGUUAUCAGUUUGUAUACCGCCGUCAUAAGAUUAUUUUUUUUGAGAGUUUAAUUUUCUUGUUUUUAUAAUAAAAGAUAUGUCAGGUCAAGGUGCAGUUUAUAAUUAAGGUUUAGAUGAGUUACAAUAGUUUUAAUUUAUUACGGAUAAUAAUUAUAAGAAUUUAAUUUGAAGGUGGAUUUGAUUGUAAAUUUAUUUUUGAUUUUUUCGUUGAUUUGGGCUCUAAAAUGUGUACAUAUCGCCCGUCGCUCUCGUAUUAUAUAAAUGAG